UAAGUUCCUGAGACUAUCUUAAGAUUAAGUAAUAAAGAAAGGGAACACAAGAAAUGUUUAAGAGUUUACAGGAAGCUCUUCAGUAAAGCCUAGGCAUCGACAAACGGAAUCAGAAUAAAAAAGCAAAUCCCUUCAGCAAAGCUGACAGCACAUUACUUGUUAGUAACAGAAAAAAACUCAUUACCAAACAUUGUUACCACUUCACUUCCAUUAUGUUUGAACCCUCCUAUCUAUCUACCAACUCCAUCAAUCACCCACCUAGCUCAUUUUUUUCAGCAGAUACCAUUAUAGAAACUCCCAACACUUGACCCCUACAAUAGCAUAUGUAGCAAUUCCAACUUUAAUGAACAAAUACAGUAUCAUUCCUCCUAGGUGGUCUGUCGGGAAUACUUCCUGGCUUGAACUUCGAAGCCUCGUGCCGGGCAAGUUCUGGGGGAACAGGACUGUUGCUUUGUGUGAGCAUUUGUUUAAGAUCAUAAAAGACUUCAGUAUCCUGCAUGGUCAAGAAUGUUGUGGCUACACCCGUCUUUCCUGCACGACCUGUACGUCCAAUACGAUGGGUGUAUGCUUCAAUAUUGUUUGGCAUAUCAAAGUUUAUCACAUGGGCCACAUCAGGUAUAUCAAUACCACGACCAGCAACGUCAGUAGCAACUAACACAUUGUACCUCUUGGUCCUAAAUCCUUCAAGGCUGAUUUCUCUUUGCUCCUGAGACUUUCCACCAUGCAGUGUGGUUACCCUGUAGCCGUUUUUAUCCAGAUUCUUGGCAACAAAAUCAGCCUGCUUCUUAGUGUUGAUGAACACAAUAGCUGUCUUAUCUCCAAGCUCAUCCAGCAAUUUCUGCAGUUUAUACAUUUUCUCUGAUUCCUUUACCAUAAACACGUGCUGAGUGAUGAGGUCAGUAGUCUUUCCAGCAGUGCCAAUAGUCACAACAACAGGAUUUCUCAAGUAUUUUCUAGCCAGCCGCUCCACAGCAGGUGGCAUGGUAGCACUGAACAUAUAAGUGGUUCGAUAAAUUCUCUUCUCAUCAAGCUCUUCAUCCUCAUUCUCCGGUUUCAUAUUACUUGAAGGCAUAGCAUCCAGUACACCAACAACUUGAGGCUCAAAACCCAUGUCAAUCAUACGGUCCGCUUCAUCAAGAACAACAUAAUUA
rnacentral:misc_RNA from 1 species